ACCAUAAAAACAUGAGCAACAAAGAAAGAAAGAAAAAGAAUGUAGUGAUAUGUACAAAGUGCUUGAUUUUAUUAAGCAAAAAUGAGGGUUAGAAGACUGCACACAUCUCCCUUUGUGCCCUAGUGAAGGUUCAACAUUUUAGAUUUAAGGUCAAGUAUAUGCAAUCUCACCAUGAUAGUUCCCUCAGCCUAAGGAUCAAAGGUCACUAGAGCUAUGGCCCCCUUCAAAGCAUAUCCACAACAGUCGAGUAAUCAACUAGAUGAGGAGAUACAAGUGAAGAGAACAGACUCUAGCUGGAGUUCUCACGAUAGCCAGACAGGAAGUACAUCCCAGAGUGACACCGCUACACAACUCCUCUAAUUCUAAGUUAUGCUCAGACCCGGGUAUAGGGCCCCACUCAAUAGAUGCAUAAUAUGUGUGUGUGUGAAGGGAGAAUGCAAUGCACCCAAACCCUCACCUGCAAAACAACCAGAAGAUUCCCAGGCAGAUAUAAACAUGUUUCAUACCCUAGGGUUCAAUAUCCAACAAUUCACAUGCAGUUAUUCCAAAUAUCAAGCAUAGAUAAAGAAAAGGGAAAAGAAAAACACAAAGCAAAAUCACACCGAAUUCGCACAUCUAAUUAAAUGGCUUGACUCUCACAUGGUCCGCAGUGGAGUCGCCAUCUGUCGCAACCAAAAAAUCGCGACGGGACGACGAUCCAAAAAGAAAACGAUUUUGAGAAAGUUUUGGAGUCGCCACCAUAGUUUAUUCUGGAAAACUAUGGAAAAAACCAUAAAAAUGAUAAAACACUGUCCACGAAAACUAAAGAUUGAGUUCGGGAGUCGGUUACGUAUGGGGAAGGUGUUAGCACCCCCACAACGCCUGCCCUAA
rnacentral:lncRNA from 1 species